rnacentral:rRNA from 1 species
GGCCGAAAGGCUGACGCAGCGACGCCGCGUGGAGGAUGAAGUCCGUUAGGACGUAAACUCCUUUUGUAGGGGAUGAAUAGUUCCGAUUUAUCGGGACCUGACCGUACCCUGCGAAUAAGGAUCGGCUAACUACGUGCCAGCAGCCGCGGUAAUACGUAGGAUCCGAGCGUUGUCCGGAAUUACUGGGUGUAAAGGGCGUGUAGGUGGGUCUCUCAGUCGGGGGUGAAAUCCUGCAGCUCAACUGCAGAACUGCUUCCGAUACUGGAGGUCUUGAGUGCGGCAGAGGGAGAUGGAAUUCAUGGUGUAGCGGUGAAAUGUGUAGAUAUCAUGAAGAACACCGGUAGCGAAGGCGGUCUCCUGGUCCGUUACUGACACUGAGGCGCGAAAGCGUGGGGAGCAAACAGGAUUAGAUACCCUGGUAGUCCACGCCUUAAACGAUGGGUACUAGGUGCUGGGCCGCAAGGUUCAGUGCCAAAGCCAACGCAUUAAGUACCCCACCUGGGGAGUACGAU